rnacentral:rRNA from 1 species
CUCGGCCUACGGGGCGCAGCAGUGAGGAAUAUUGGUCAAUGGGCGGAAGCCUGAACCAGCCAAGUCGCGUGAGGGAAUAAGGCCCUACGGGUCGUAAACCUCUUUUGCCGGGGAGCAAGGGCGGGGACGUGUCCCGGCCCGGAGAGUACCCGGAGAAAAAGCAUCGGCUAACUCCGUGCCAGCAGCCGCGGUAAUACGGAGGAUGCGAGCGUUAUCCGGAUUUAUUGGGUUUAAAGGGGGCGCAGGCGGAAGAUCAAGUCAGCGGUAAAAUUGAGAGGCUGAACCUCUUCG